rnacentral:rRNA from 1 species
GUGUCAGCCGCCGCGGUAAUACAGAGGUGGCAAGCGUUGUUCGGAAUUACUGGGCGUAAAGGGCGCGUAGGCGGCCGCCUAAGUCAGACGUGAAAUCCCCAGGCUUAACUUGGGAACUGCGUCUGAUACUGGGUGGCUGGAGUUCGGGAGAGGAAUGUGGAAUUCCAGGUGUAGCGGUGAAAUGCGUAGAUAUCUGGAGGAACACCGGUGGCGAAGGCGGCAUUCUGGACCGAAACUGACGCUGAUGCGCGAAAGCCAGGGGAGCAAACGGGAUUAGAUACCCCGGUAGUCCUGGCCCUAAACGAUGAGUGCUUGGUGUGGUGGGUAUCGAUCCCUGCCGUGCCGAAGCUAACGCAUUAAGCACUCCGCCUGGGGAGUACGGUCGCAAGGCUGAA